rnacentral:rRNA from 1 species
CUCUAUGGCCAUGCUACCCUGAAUGUGCCCAAACCUGUCCGAUUGUGGAAGCUAAGCAGGGUUGGGCCUGGUUAGUAGUUCGAUGGGAGUACACCUAGGAAUACCAGGUGCUGUAGGUG